UACGUAGGGUGCGAGCGUUGUCCGGAAUUACUGGGCGUAAAGAGCUCGUAGGUGGUUUGUCGCGUUGUCCGUGAAGACUCACAGCUUAACUGUGGGCGUGCGGGCGAUACGGGCAGACUGGAGUACUGCAGGGGAGACUGGAAUUCCUGGUGUAGCGGUGAAAUGCGCAGAUAUCAGGAGGAACACCGAUGGCGAAGGCAGGUCUCUGGGCCAUAACUGACGCUGAGAAGCGAAAGCAUGGGGAGCGAACAGG
rnacentral:rRNA from 1 species